rnacentral:rRNA from 1 species
UAACACGUGGGUAACCUGCCUGUAAGACUGGGAUAACUCCGGGAAACCGGGGCUAAUACCGGAUGGUUGUCUGAACCGCAUGGUUCAGACAUAAAAGGUGGCUUCGGCUACCACUUACAGAUGGACCCGCGGCGCAUUAGCUAGUUGGUGAGGUAACGGCUCACCAAGGCGACGAUGCGUAGCCGACCUGAGAGGGUGAUCGGCCACACUGGGACUGAGACACGGCCCAGACUCCUACGGGAGGCAGCAGUAGGGAAUCUUCCGCAAUGGACGAAAGUCUGACGGAGCAACGCCGCGUGAGUGAUGAAGGUUUUCGGAUCGUAAAGCUCUGUUGUUAGGGAAGAACAAGUGCCGUUCAAAUAGGGCGGCACCUUGACGGUACCUAACCAGAAAGCCACGGCUAACUACGUGCCAGCAGCCGCGGUAAUACGUAGGUGGCAAGCGUUGUCCGGAAUUAUUGGGCGUAAAGGG